rnacentral:misc_RNA from 1 species
AACGCACCUUGCGCCCCCUGGUAUUCCGGAGGGCAUGCCCGGUUGAGUGUCAUGAAUAUCUCAAACCCGACGCUUUGUUUGAAGUGCCGGGGCUUGGACUUGAGCGUUGUCGGCGAUCUGUCGACUCGCUUGAAAUUGAUCAGUGAUGUACGAUCCCUUGUCGGGUCCGUCUCAGCGUGAUAAGUUGAUCGCUGCAUAGGACUUGCGCAUCGGUGAAGGCACGCUCCUAACCGUCUUAGGACAGCUCUUGACGUUUACACCUCAACUCGGGUAGGACUACCCGCUGAACUUAA